rnacentral:rRNA from 1 species
UACAGAGGGUGCGAGCGUUGUUCGGAAUUACUGGGCGUAAAGCGCGCGCAGGCGGCCUUUUAAGUCUGACGGUGAAAUGCCGGGGCUCAACCCCGUGCCCGCCGGAGAUACUGGGAGGCUGGAGACGAGUAGAGGCAAGCGGGAUUCCGGGUGUAGCGGUGGAAUGCGUAGAGAUCCGGAAGAACACCGGAGGCGAAGGCGGCUUGCUGGGCUCUGUCUGACGCUGAGGCGCGAAAGCGUGGGGAGCGAACAGG